rnacentral:rRNA from 1 species
CGAAUGCUGACAUAAGUAACGAUAAAGCGGGUGAAAAGCCCGCUCGCCGGAAGACCAAGGGUUCCUGUCCAACGUUAAUCGGGGCAGGGUGAGUCGACCCCUAAGGCGAGGCCGAAAGGCGUAGUCGAUGGGAAACAGGUUAAUAUUCCUGUACUUGGUGUUACUGCGAAGGGGGGACGGAGAAGGCUAUGUUGGCCGGGCGACGGUUGUCCCGGUUUAAGCGUGUAGGCUGGUUUUCCAGGCAAAUCCGGAAAAUCAAGGCUGAGGCGUGAUGACGAGGCACUACGGUGCUGAAGCAACAAAUGCCCUGCUUCCAGGAAAAGCCUCUAAGCAUCAGGUAACAUCAAAUCGUACCCCAAACCGACACAGGUGGUCAGGUAGAGAAUACCAAGGCGCUUGAGAGAACUCGGGUGAAGGAACUAGGCAAAAUGGUGCCGUAACUUCGGGAGAAGGCACGCUGAUAUGUAGGUGAAGUCCCUCGCGGAUGGAGCUGAAAUCAGUCGAAGAUACCAGCUGGCUGCAACUGUUUAUUAAAAACACAGCACUGUGCAAACACGAAAGUGGACGUAUACGGUGUGACGCCUGCCCGGUGCCGGAAGGUUAAUUGAUGGGGUCAGCGCAAGCGAAGCUCUUGAUCGAAGCCCCGGUAAACGGCGGCCGUAACUAUAACGGUCCUAAGGUAGCGAAAUUCCUUGUCGGGUAAGUUCCGACCUGCACGAAUGGCGUAAUGAUGGCCAGGCUGUCUCCACCCGAGACUCAGUGAAAUUGAACUCGCUGUGAAGAUGCAGUGUACCCGCGGCAAGACGGAAAGACCCCGUGAACCUUUACUAUAGCUUGACACUGAACAUUGAGCCUUGAUGUGUAGGAUAGGUGGGAGGCUUUGAAGUGUGGACGCCAGUCUGCAUGGAGCCGACCUUGAAAUACCACCCUUUAAUGUUUGAUGUUCUAACGUUGACCCGUAAUCCGGGUUGCGGACAGUGUCUGGUGGGUAGUUUGACUGGGGCGGUCUCCUCCUAAAGAGUAACGGAGGAGCACGAAGGUUGGCUAAUCCUGGUCGGACAUCAGGAGGUUAGUGCAAUGGCAUAAGCCAGCUUGACUGCGAGCGUGACGGCGCGAGCAGGUGCGAAAGCAGGUCAUAGUGAUCCGGUGGUUCUGAAUGGAAGGGCCAUCGCUCAACGGAUAAAAGGUACUCCGGGGAUAACAGGCUGAUACCGCCCAAGAGUUCAUAUCGACGGCGGUGUUUGGCACCUCGAUGUCGGCUCAUCACAUCCUGGGGCUGAAGUAGGUCCCAAGGGUAUGGCUGUUCGCCAUUUAAAGUGGUACGCGAGCUGGGUUUAGAACGUCGUGAGACAGUUCGGUCCCUAUCUGCCGUGGGCGCUGGAGAAUUGAGGGGGGCUGCUCCUAGUACGAGAGGACCGGAGUGGACGCAUCACUGGUGUUCGGGUUGUCAUGCCAAUGGCACUGCCCGGUAGCUAAAUGCGGAAGAGAUAAGUGCUGAAAGCAUCUAAGCACGAAACUUGCCCCGAGAUGAGUUCUCCCUGACUCCUUGAGAGUCCUGAAGGAACG